rnacentral:rRNA from 1 species
UACAGAGGUGGCAAGCGUUGUUCGGAAUUACUGGGCGUAAAGGGCUCGUAGGCGGCCAACUAAGUCGGAUGUGAAAUCCCCAGGCUUAACCUGGGAACUGCAUCCGAUACUGGAUGGCUUGAAUCCGGGAGAGGGAUGCGGAAUUCCAGGUGUAGCGGUGAAAUGCGUAGAUAUCUGGAGGAACACCGGUGGCGAAGGCGGCAUCCUGGACCGGCAUUGACGCUGAGGAGCGAAAGCCAGGGGAGCAAACGGG